CGGGCAAGCAGCUCUCUCGCUAUUAAUAACCUGGCGGGGAGCCGGCGUCCAGUCUAUAAAGCCAAGCCCGCCAACCCCAAGCGGCUCCUUCAACCCCUGAGAUCUUAAACAAAAGUGUAUAGAUAUUUUGCCUGCAUUUUUGUCUGUGCACCACAUGUGUGCGGUAUCCACAGGAGCCAAAAAGAUGUCCUCUGGAGCUGGAAUUACAAGUGCAUGUGAGCCACCCUGAGGGUGUUGGGGACUGACUCCCUGUCCUCAGCAAGAGCAGCCACUGAGCCACCCUCCCAGUCCCUAGUUCAUUCUUUAUUCUAUGAAUCAUGUCUAGGACGCCCGAGUGGCCAGGCUCUGGCUGCCCCGCAGUCAUCUCCCUCAUGUCCCUGUCUCAUGCUGAACUAUUUUGGGGGACAUGACCAGCAGAUGAGUCUGGCCACAGUUGUGCCUGGGACAAAGGCCUGGGUUUGGCAAGCACAAACCCCGUUCCAGUCCCGCGCUUUCAGCCUCUGCGUAACCUUGACACUGCGGCCCUACAGGGAAGCUCCUCACGUUGGUCACAGGACUUCUGCAGCUGGGGAGAUGACAGAUGUCUGCAUUGCUACCUGUGGGUGCGAGGACAUCUAAUAUUGAUUGGAGUAGCAUGACAAGAGAAACAGAAAUGGGGCACAGGAGUUCAAGACCAACCUGAGGUACAGGAACCCCUGUCCCAAAGCAAAGCAAAAUACCCUAAAGUUUGAAGUCUGUAAGAUUCAAGUGUUAGGAAGUGGAAUUCAAGAGCCAGACGUUGAUAGCGCACGCCUUUAACCCCACACUCUGGAGGGAGGCAGGCAGAUCUCUUAGUUCAAGACCAGAGUGAGUUCCAGGACAGCCAGGGCUACACAGACAAACACUGUCUCAGGGGAAAAGGAAAGGAAAAGAAAAAAAGAAAAUGAAUUUUAUAAUUUAUUGUAUUAUUUUUAUAUUAUGUGGGGGGAGGAGAUGAUACUAAAAUCUAGUUUCAUAAUUGGUUCUUAAUUUGGUUAAUAAGGUGGAAGCCAGUAGGUCCCAGGCAAAAGAAGAAGCAUGUUUUUAAAAUUACAAACAACAAUUUUAUUUUCAAAGUCUUAUGUAGACAAGGAGGCUUCAGAUUUGUUAUUUAGCAGAACACUACUGUUCAGUCAUUUGUCCAUCCAUCCACCCAUCCACCCACUCAUCUACUGUAGCAUUUUUCUAUAUGUAAUUGGGAUUUUGUCAUUGCAAUUCCACAGAUGGCCAUCAGGUGUCACCCUCAUGCUAAAGAAUAAAAUCUCUGAGGCU
rnacentral:lncRNA from 1 species